rnacentral:misc_RNA from 1 species
AGGCGGGCAUCCAUUGCGAGCGUGGCAUUGUCGUUUCCGACACCAUGCAGACCUAUGAUGGACGUAUCUAUGCGGUCGGAGAAUGCGUGCAGCACCGUCGCCAGACCUACGGUCUCGUGCUGUUCGAUCAGGCUAAGGUCUGCGCCAAUCAACUCGCCAUGAAGGGCUUUGCCAGCUACUCGGGUUCGGUGGUCUCGACCAAGCUCAAGGUGACAGGCAUCGAUCUGUUC